UACGAAGGGUGCAAGCGUUACUCGGAAUUACUGGGCGUAAAGCGUGCGUAGGUGGUUCGUUAAGUCUGAUGUGAAAGCCCUGGGCUCAACCUGGGAAUGGCAUUGGAUACUGGCGAUCUAGAGUGCGGUAGAGGGCAGUGGAAUUCCCGGUGUAGCAGUGAAAUGCGUAGAGAUCGGGAGGAACAUCUGUGGCGAAGGCGACUGCCUGGACCAGCACCGACACUGAGGCACGAAAGCGUGGGAGCAAACAGG
rnacentral:rRNA from 1 species